AACUAUGAUGACAACCUUGUUUCGGUCCCAAAUGAUGACCUAUGAUUACUUUCAAUGAGAUCUUCUGAUGUU